rnacentral:tRNA from 1 species
GGAGAGGUGUCCGAGAGGCCGAAGGAGCACGCUUGGAAAGCGUGUAUAGGGGAAACUCUAUCGAGGGUUCGAAUCCCUCCCUCUCCGCCG